rnacentral:rRNA from 1 species
CCUACGGGCGGCAGCAGUGAGGAAUAUUGGUCAAUGGACGAGAGUCUGAACCAGCCAAGUAGCGUGAAGGAUGACUGCCCUAUGGGUUGUAAACUUCUUUUAUAUGGGAAUAAAAUGUUCCACGUGUGGGAUUUUGUCUGUACCAUAUGAAUAAGGAUCGGCUAACUCCGUGCCAGCAGCCGCGGUAAUACGGAGGAUCCGAGCGUUAUCCGGAUUUAUUGGGUUUAAAGGGAGCGUAGGUGGAUUGUUAAGUCAGUUGUGAAAGUUUGCGGCUCAACCGUAAAAUUGCAGUUGAAACUGGCAGUCUUGAGUACAGUAGGGGUGGGCGGAAUUCGUGGUGUAGCGGUGAAAUGCUUAGAUAUCACGAAGAACUCCGAUUGCGAAGGCAGUUCACUGGACUGCAACUGACACUGAGGCUCGAAAGUGUGGGUAUCAAACAGGAUUAGAUACCCUGGUAGUC